GACGAACCGUGCGAACGUUGUUCGGAAUCACUGGGCUUAAAGGGCGCGUAGGCGGCUUCGCAAGUCGGGGGUGAAAUCUUUCGGCUCAACCGGAAAAGUGCCCCCGAUACUGCGGAGCUCGAGGGAGGUAGGGGCGGACGGAAUUCCGGGUGUAGUGGUGAAAUGCGUAGAGAUCCGGAGGAACACCAGUGGCGAAGGCGGCUCGCUGGGCUUUACCUGACGCUGAGGCGCGAAAGCGUGGGGAGCGAACCGG
rnacentral:rRNA from 1 species